rnacentral:rRNA from 1 species
GACUACAUGAAGCUGGAAUCGCUAGUAAUCGCGAAUCAGAAUGUCGCGGUGAAUACGUUCCCGGGUCUUGUACACACCGCCCGUCACACCAUGGGAGUCGGAAAUGCCCGAAGUCAGUGACCCAACCGUAAGGAGGGAGCUGCCGAAGGUGGAGCCGGUAACUGGGGUGAAGUCGUAACAAGGUAUC